UACGUAGGUGGCAAGCGUUGUCCGGAUUUACUGGGCGUAAAGGGCGUGCAGGCGGUUUGUUAAGUGCAGGGUGAAAGCUCCCGGCUCAACUGGGAGAGGUCCUUGCAUACUGGCGAACUCGAGGGAGGCAGAGGAAAGUGGAAUUCCCGGUGUAGUGGUGAUAUGCGUAGAUAUCCGAAGGAACAUCAGUGGCGAAAGCGGCUUCCUGGACCAGAACUGACGAUCAGGCUCGAAAGCGUGGGGAGCAAACAGG
rnacentral:rRNA from 1 species